rnacentral:misc_RNA from 1 species
GGGGACUAAUGCUUGCCUUGAAAUGACGAAUGCCUAGUUAGCAUAUAAUCGAACCGGAAUGAUAAUGAAUGAGAUUGAACUCAGAAAAUAAGAGUGGAUAUAAAGGUGGUGAAAACAGAACUGAAACUUAAGAAAGGGUAUCACAGAGCGAUGAACAAACUGAAAAUCAGGAGUUCCAGUGUCCAACACUUCUUCAGAGAAAAUACUUGAGAAAACUGGUUUCUAAAGUCUUUCUAGCUUAAAAAUAGCAGAGUAGCGAAACUGAAUUAAUUUUCAGAGCCUUUCCACUAUAAUUACCACCCAUUUCUUCGUGUUCCGCUAUCAACAGUUUUCAUGCAGGUAUUUAU